GGUGGCGAUACUGGAGACCCGUGGUGGUGAUCUGUCAUAAUUUGAUACGUCAAAUGAGGAUCUCUGUUACAUUUAAAAAGCUUAUGCUCAAGCAAUUUUUGUUGUUAAUAAAUUAUUUUUUUGUGAGUUUUAUGCUCCUUUGAGACCCAAAUUGGCCAACAUGCCAUGAGAAACCUAACAAUGCGCUUGAGUGGUGUAGGGAGUCUAUAAUGACAUGAACUUGAAGAAAGCAUCACUUAGAAUGUAGGCAUCGCAAUAUCGAAGCAUGAAAGUUGUGAUACCUUUGACAAUUCUGAAGUGAGAAAAAUUG
rnacentral:lncRNA from 1 species